AUUCAGCUGACAAGUCUCAAAUAGAACGAAACUUGUGUCCUGCAU
rnacentral:hammerhead_ribozyme from 1 species